rnacentral:rRNA from 1 species
GAUGAACGCUAGCGGCAGGCUUAACACAUGCAAGUCGAGGGGUAUUGGUUUUCGGACCAAGAGACCGGCGCACGGGUGCGUAACGCGUAUGCAAUCUACCUUUUGCAGAGGGAUAGCCCCAGAGAAAUUUGGAUUAAUACCUCAUAGUAUAGUACUUUGGCAUCAAGGAACUAUUAAAGUCACAACGGCAAAAGAUGAGCAUGCGUCCCAUUAGCUAGUUGGUAAGGUAACGGCUUACCAAGGCUACGAUGGGUAGGGGUCCUGAGAGGGAGAUCCCCCACACUGGUACUGAGACACGGACCAGACUCCUACGGGAGGCAGCAGUGAGGAAUAUUGGACAAUGGGCGCAAGCCUGAUCCAGCCAUGCCGCGUGCAGGAUGACGGUCCUAUGGAUUGUAAACUGCUUUAUACAGGAAGAAACACACCCUCGUGAGGGUACUUGACGGUACUGUAUGAAUAAGGACCGGCUAACUCCGUGCCAGCAGCGCG